rnacentral:rRNA from 1 species
UGGGGAAUAUUGCACAAUGGGCGCAAGCCUGAUGCAGCAACGCCGCGUGAACGAUGAAGGUCUUCGGAUCGUAAAGUUCUGUUGCAGGGGAAGAUAAUGACGGUACCCUGUGAGGAAGCCCCGGCUAACUACGUGCCAGCAGCCGCGGUAAUACGUAGGGGGCUAGCGUUAUCCGGAUUUACUGGGCGUAAAGGGUGCGUAGGUGGUCUUUCAAGUCGGUGGUUAAAGGCUACGGCUCAACCGUAGUUAGCCUCCGAAACUGGAAGACUUGAGUGAAGGAGAGGAAAGUGGAAUUCCCAGUGUAGCGGUGAAAUGCGUAGAUAUUGGGAGGAAAACCAGUAGCGAAGGCGGCUUUCUGGACUGCAACUGACACUGAGGCACGAAAGCGUGGGUAGCAAACAGG